UAGCAAAGGCUCUCUGAGGCCUCUUGAAGAAAGUGUUCAACAGAGAUAUAGGACCUAGACGCCAUCAUGGUUGGCCUUCAUUUUUUUUCUAUCCUCUUUGGUUUCUGUUCACAGGGACAGCAGAAAUCUAUAGCAGACCUGACUGAGCCCCCAAGCUGGAAGCACCCUGACAUUGGGGGAGUUCCUACACACCAGAUCUGGUUCUGAAGCUCAGUGUGAACUGUCUGGGUCCCAUCGAGAAGCG
rnacentral:lncRNA from 1 species